AGCGAACGCUGGCGGUAGGCCUAACACAUGCAAGUCGAACGGCAGCACAGUAAGAGCUUGCUCUUACGGGUGGCGAGUGGCGGACGGGUGAGGAAUACAUCGGAAUCUACUUUUUCGUGGGGGAUAACGCAGGGAAACUUACGCUAAUACCGCAUACGACCUACGGGUGAAAGCAGGGGAUCUUCGGACCUUGCGCGAUUGAAUGAGCCGAUGUCGGAUUAGCUAGUUGGCGGGGUAAAGGCCCACCAAGGCGACGAUCCGUAGCUGGUCUGAGAGGAUGAUCAGCCACACUGGAACUGAGACACGGUCCAGACUCCUACGGGAGGCAGCAGUGGGGAAUAUUGGACAAUGGGCGCAAGCCUGAUCCAGCCAUACCGCGUGGGUGAAGAAGGCCUUCGGGUUGUAAAGCCCUUUUGUUGGGAAAGAAAAGCAGCAGGUUAAUACCCCGCUGUUCUGACGGUACCCAAAGAAUAAGCACCGGCUAACUUCGUG
rnacentral:rRNA from 1 species